rnacentral:rRNA from 1 species
GACGAACGCUGGCGGCGUGCUUAACACAUGCAAGUCGAGCGGAAAGGCCCUUCGGGGUCCUCGAGCGGCGAACGGGUGAGUAACACGUGAGUAACCUGCCCCAGACUUUGGGAUAACCCUCGGAAACGGGGGCUAAUACCGGAUACGACACAGCUUCGCAUGGGGUCUGUGUGGAAAGUUUUUCGGUUUGGGAUGGGCUCGCGGCCUAUCAGCUUGUUGGUGGGGUGAUGGCCUCCCAAGGCGACGACGGGUAGCCGGCCUGAGAGGGCGACCGGCCACACUGGGACUGAGACACGGCCCAGACUCCUACGGGAGGCAGCAGUGGGGAAUAUUGCACAAUGGGCGGAAGCCUGAUGCAGCGACGCCGCGUGAGGGAUGACGGCCUUCGGGUUGUAAACCUCUUUCAGCAGGGACGAAGCGUAAGUGACGGUACCUGCAGAAGAAGCGCCGGCCAACUACGUG